GCAGUCGACGGUAAGGCCCUUCGGGGUACACGAGUGGCGAACGGGUGAGUAACACGUGGGUGAUCUGCCCUGCACUUUGGGAUAAGCCUGGGAAACUGGGUCUAAUACCGAAUACACCCUGCUGGUCGCAUGGCCUGGUGGGGGAAAGCUUUUGCGGUGUGGGAUGGGCCCGCGGCCUAUCAGCUUGUUGGUGGGGUGAUGGCCUACCAAGGCGACGACGGGUAGCCGGCCUGAGAGGGUGACCGGCCACACUGGGACUGAGAUACGGCCCAGACUCCUACGGGAGGCAGCAGUGGGGAAUAUUGCACAAUGGGCGCAAGCCUGAUGCAGCGACGCCGCGUGAGGGAUGACGGCCUUCGGGUUGUAAACCUCUUUCAAUAGGGACGAAGCGCAAGUGACGGUACCUAUAGAAGAAGGACCGG
rnacentral:rRNA from 1 species